rnacentral:pre_miRNA from 1 species
AGUGGGAUAGCUGGGUUAAAUGGUGAUUCUGUUCCAAGUUUUCCAGGGAAUCUCCAUACUGCUUUCCAUAUUGGCUGCACCAAUUUGCAGUCCCACCAGCAAU